AACGAACGCUGGCGGCGUGCUUAACACAUGCAAGUCGAACGGUAAGGCCCUUCGGGGUACACGAGUGGCGAACGGGUGAGUAACACGUGGGUGAUCUGCCCUGCACUUCGGGAUAAGCCUGGGAAACUGGGUCUAAUACCGGAUAGGACUCCUGGCUUCAUGGUUGGGGGUGGAAAGCUUUUGCGGUGUGGGAUGGGCCCGCGGCCUAUCAGCUUGUUGGGGGGGUAACGGCCUACCAAGGCGACGACGGGUAGCCGGCCUGCGAGGGGGACCGGUCACACGGGGACUAGGAGACGGCCCAGACUCCUACGGGAGGCAGCAGUGGGGAAUAUUGCACAAUGGGCGCAAGCCUGAUGCAGCGACGCCGCGUGAGGGAUGACGGCCUUCGGGUUGUAAACCUCUUUCAGCUAUGACGAAGCGCAAGUGACGGUAGUAGCAGAAGAAGGACCGGCCAACUACGUGCCAGCCGCCGCAGUAA
rnacentral:rRNA from 1 species